rnacentral:rRNA from 1 species
UGGGGAAUUUUGGACAAUGGGCGAAAGCCUGAUCCAGCAAUGCCGCGUGUGUGAAGAAGGCCUUCGGGUUGUAAAGCACUUUUGUCCGGAAAGAAAUCCUUGGCUCUAAUACAGUCGGGGGAUGACGGUACCGGAAGAAUAAGCACCGGCUAACUACGUGCCAGCAGCCGCGGUAAUACGUAGGGUGCAAGCGUUAAUCGGAAUUACUGGGCGUAAAGCGUGCGCAGGCGGUUUGCUAAGACCGAUGUGAAAUCCCCGGGCUCAACCUGGGAACUGCAUUGGUGACUGGCAGGCUAGAGUAUGGCAGAGGGGGGUAGAAUUCCACGUGUAGCAGUGAAAUGCGUAGAGAUGUGGAGGAAUACCGAUGGCGAAGGCAGCCCCCUGGGCCAAUACUGACGCUCAUGCACGAAAGCGUGGGGGAGCAAACAGGAUUAGAUACCCUGGUAGUCCACGCCCUAAAGCGAUGUCAACUAGUUGUUGGGGAUUCAUUUCCUUAGUAACGUAGCUAACGCGUGAAGUUGACCGCCUGGGGAGUACGGUCG